rnacentral:rRNA from 1 species
CCUACGGGUGGCAGCAGUGGGGAAUAUUGCACAAUGGGGGGAACCCUGAUGCAGCAACGCCGCGUGAGUGAAGGAGGACUUCGGUACGUAAAGCCCUAUCAGCAGGGAAGAAAAUGACGGUACCUGACUAAGAAGCCACGGCUAACUACGUGCCAGCAGCCGCGGUAAUACGUAGGGGGCCAGCGUUGUUCGGAAUUACUGGGCGUAAAGGGUGCGUAGGCGGUUAUUUAAGUUAGAAGUGAAAUACCCAGGGCUUAACUUGGGUGCUGCGUCUAAACCUGUAAGACUAGAGUGCAGUAGAGGAGAGUGGAAUUCCUAGUGGAGCGGUGGAAUGCGUAGAUAUUAGGAAGAACACCAGAGGCGAAGGCGAUUAUCUGGACUGCAACUGACGCUGAGGCACGAAAGUGUGGGGAGCAAACAGGAUUAGAUACCCUAGUAGUC